CGUCUCACUCAUCACACUCCGGGAUCCCAACCCCGACUGAGCGGCCCCCGUUCCCUUUAAACGGGGCAACCUCAGUAGCCCCAAAGGACCACUGAAAGUAUUUCUGGGUGUACUCUGCGCUUGCGCCCUCUGUUGCUAGGGGGUCUUCUUCUACUCUCUGGUGGUCAUUUGAGGAAGGCUCCUCUCUUCCUCCUCAGUGACAGUUCAUGGCCCUGUAAUGAUCUUUUCCAUAUAAGGUUAUAAGUUAUAUGCGCCUAAGUUCUAGUUGCACAGUCAGCUUAAGUAAUCAACAUACUAUCUAGUUUCUGUUUUGCGGUUUUCUGUUAUCUACACAAGUCUUUUCCUUUCUGUCUUGCAGUUUUCUGUUAUCUAUACAAGGCUUCUCCUUUCUGUCUUGCGGUUUCUUUAAUGAUGAACAAAGAGUUCUUUCCAGCUUAUCACAGCUUGGUCUCUGUCAGAAGCUCUUACCCCAUGCUGAAAUUAUUUUCUCAUUGAAGUUAUUGCCUUCAGCACAAAAACACCUUAGUGGCGAAGGCACGGAAGAAUCUGGCAAGUAAGAAUCCUCACUUCAGGAAAGCUUUACUUCCCAUUGCUCAACUGAAGUAGUUCCAAAUAUUUGCAAACUUCCCAAAUUAAUUUGGAUGGCCUGAGGAGGUGAAGAGUUGGAAUUUUGCUUCCCAUCUCAAAGCAGCAACUCAUUUGCGUUAACCUCAUCCACUGAGGAUCACUUUACAGAACAUAACACUACACAAAAAAAGGGCAAAAACAAGGGCCAUUAUUUGGUUUUCUAUGAAGGGAUGAUAAUAUCCUAAUUCUCUUAAGGAAUAAAAGCUCUCAAGAAAUGAAAGUCCACUCAGUGGUACAAAAGUAGCCCAAAGAAAUGAGUAGAUGGCAAAAGGGUGAAUCCUCCCCCUGGUAUGGAUAUCUAAGUGGCCAGUAAAGUACAGCUCUCCCCUCUUGUUCCCUGCAGCAGAAUCAGGACCAUGAAGCGGAAAAGUCACAGAUAUUCUUUCUGCCCUCCCUAACCAAAGCUGUGCCAAAACACAGAUGCUGCCUUCAAACUGACUCAAAUUCCAGCCUAGACCUCUCACCUUCCACACAACUCCUUCUUCAACACCCCACCAGCACCAACCCCCCCAAACUCCCACACAGAUCCCUCAACACCCUGCCAGGAGCCCCAGCUGUCCCCGUUCCUCGGCAGAGCUUUCCCACCCUCCAGCAGAUGCCCUGGUUCCCCGCAGGUGCCGUGGGAUGGCACUCAGGAGGAUCUGCUCCACGGCCUUCCCCUGGAGCAGGCUCAGGCUGCCAGGCCUAUGGUUCCUGGAUCAUCCUUCCCACCAAGCCUUCCUGUGCACGGCUGUUCCAUUUGCACCUUUGCGCUCAGCUCGGACUUCUUCACUGAACCACGAGUGAUGGUGAAGGAUGGAGAACAGCCUGGCAAGCUCUUUCUCCAGCUCCCUCUUUACUCUUGGGGAGGUAGAACAUUCCACAGGAAAGCAACUGCUGCCACAAGGAGCGGGUGGCCUCAGGCACCUUUGGCAAUGAAACAAGGCCUUUGACAUAAGGAAGCACAAGCAAUUCACAUGAGUAAACAAGUAAUGAGCACAGACAUACCUAAGUACUUAGCAGCAGUUAGCAUAAGAAAAACCUGGCAGGCCUAACUUGACCUGAGAGUGACUUGACAAAAAGCUUUAGCCAUAGUCUACCAGAAGAACUAAGGGCAAGUGUGGAGUCAGCCCUGUGCAGGGAAGCCAUGAGGAAGACUUGGUGCUGCUUUGGGGCAUUGAGACGGCUCCUGGCCAGGGCCUGGACAUCAGCUUCAAGUACAGCAAUCUGACACAAUGUAUUUCUAACCCCCUGCCUAUCGAAUCACCUCAGCAGUGUAAAGAUGGAUGGUAUGUUUGAUACAAUUCCUACAUCAACCCACUGAAAUUUAUACGUGGCGGAGAAACAUUUCAGUGGGUGCAGACCCCUGCCCUCC